GAGAUACGACCCAAAACCCACCCCAAUUACUUCUUUCUCUCUCUCAAAUCAUCUAUUCACUCACAACCCAAACAAAAUCCCAACCCAUUUGUUUUCUCUCUACCCGUGGUACUUUCUAAACCCAAAACCCCCAAAAUUGAAACCCCAACCCCCGUGAAAUUUCAAAACCCGAAUUCCCUGUUUCUCUCUUCUCUCGUUCUCCCCCUGCUUCCCUUUCACGGUGUUUUGUUGCUGCUCGUCGGAGCUUCGAUGUCGGCCACCGCCAUGUCUCUCUCCUCCGUUCUCUUUCGUCCUCUUCAUGCCCUAUUGUUAUUCGUCGGUGUGUCGGUUUGCCAGUGCUUUGCUUGCUCGCGGUUGGUCGGUGAUGUCGCGACUGUUGUUAUUGAUUGCCGAAGGUUGGUCGCACAACCCUCGUUGGUGGUGCGACUGUGAAAGGGGCCCUGCUCGUGUUUCCCUCUCCUUUCAUUGUUGUUGCUGCUGCAGUUGUGUUAUCUCCCUACCCCGUCGAUUUGUUGGUGCUGCCACCUACAGUGGUAGCGGCGUGUCGGUGGUCGGCGAAGUACCAAAGUAUUUUAUAUGUUUCAGGUUGAAGCCGUGAGUUAUUCUUUUGCAAGUUGAAGGGGAUACGAGAUGGUGCAGUAUUAUAUUUGUUAUUGAAGUGAGGACGCUCCACUUGUAAUAGUUAAUCGUUUGUUUUCUAUAAUCUAUUUCUUCAUUUAAGAAUCGUUAGCUAGUGCUCCUGAUUCUCUGUUGGUUGUUACUCCGCGAAAGCGUUGAGGUUGUUCAGCUUUGGGAUUUGGAAAUAUUUUAUAAAUUGAAAUUGUAACAGGUUCAUAUUAUUUUUCGCUUUA